rnacentral:rRNA from 1 species
GGUGAACGCUGGCGGCGUGCCUAACACAUGCAAGUCGAACGAAAACACGAGGAGCUCGUUCUCUUAACGUUAGCGGCGGGCGGGCGAGUAACACGUGGAUCACCAUCUUAUUAUACUGGGAUAAUUACGGGAAGCAGCUUCCACUACCGGCUCAUAUAAUCUACCGGUUGGAUCAGUAGUUCAUGACGGCUUUGCUGUCACUAUUAGCUGGUUUCGCGUCGCAUUAGCUAGUUGGUAAGGUAACGGCUAACCAAGGCGACGAUGCGUAGCCGACCUGAGAGGGUGAUCAGCCACACUGGAACUGAGACACGGUCCAGACUCCUACGGGAGGCAGCAGUGGGGAAUAUUGGGCAAUGGGCGAAAGCCUGACGGAGCCACACCGCGUGGGUGAAGAAGGCCUUCGGGUCGUAAAGCUCUUUUGUUGGGAAAGAAAAGAAGUAUGUGAAUACAUCGCCGUCUUGACGGUACCUAAAGAAAAAGCACCGGCUAACUUCGUG